rnacentral:rRNA from 1 species
UACGUAGGUGGCAAGCGUUGUCCGGAAUUAUUGGGCGUAAAGCGCGCGCAGGUGGUUCUUUAAGUCUGAUGUGAAAGCCCACGGCUCAACCGUGGAGGGUCAUUGGAAACUGGGGAACUUGAGUGCAGAAGAGGAAAGUGGAAUUCCAAGUGUAGCGGUGAAAUGCGUAGAGAUUUGGAGGAACACCAGUGGCGAAGGCGACUUUCUGGUCUGUAACUGACACUGAGGCGCGAAAGCGUGGGGAGCAAACAGGAUUAGAAACCCGUAGUAGUCC